UACGUAGGGUGCAAGCAUUAAUCGGAUUUAUUGGGCGUAAAGGGCGCGUAGGCGGGAUGAUAAGUCAGAUGUGAAAGCCCGGGGCUCAACCAAGGAACCGCGAUCGAAACUGCUAGGCUAGAGUAUCGGAGGGGAUGGCGGAAUUCCCGGUGUAGAGGUGAAAUUCGUAGAUAUCGGGAGGAACACCUGUGGCGAAGGCGGCCAUCUGGAAGAUUACUGACGCUGAGACGCGAAAGCGUGGGGAGCAAACAGG
rnacentral:rRNA from 1 species